CGCGGUAAUACGGAGGGUGCGAGCGUUAAUCGGAAUUACUGGGCGUAAAGCGCAUGCAGGCGGCCUGUUAAGUCAGAUGUGAAAGCCCGGGGCUUAACCUCGGAAUUGCAUUUGAAACUGGCAGGCUACAGUCUUGUAGAGGGGGGUAGAAUUUCAGGUGUAGCGGUGAAAUGCGUAGAGAUCUGAAGGAAUACCAGUGGCGAAGGCGGCCCCCUGGACAAAGACUGACGCUCAGAUGCGAAAGCGUGGGGAGCAAACAGGAUUAGAUACCCUGGUAGUCCACGCCGUAAACGAUGUCUACUUGGAGGUUGUGGCCUUGAGCCGUGGCUUUCGGAGCUAACGCGUUAAGUAGACCGCCUGGGGAGUACGGUCGCAAGAUUAAAACUCAAAUGAAUUGACGGGGGCCCGCACAAGCGGUGGAGCAUGUGGUUUAAUUCGAUGCAACGCGAAGAACCUUACCUACUCUUGACAUCCAGAGAA
rnacentral:rRNA from 1 species